CUGGCCCUAGAGUCCAUCGGCUUUCCUCAGUUGUCACUCUUUCUCCCGAGGGUUGCCUGGCCUCCCACCCCGAGACCUGAAGCUGCGUGGGGGUCGUGGGGGUGCAGGCUGGACCACGCGAGUCCGAGACUUUAGCCCAUCUAACCCGGAAGCCACAGACAUCACCAUAAGGAAGUAUAUUUUUAAGAAGCAGUGAGGUGUUUUGAAAAGGGUUGAAGACUUACCAUGAGUUUAAGCACGUCAAGUAAUGCCACUGCUGGGGACACCCAAAGGGUGAAAAGUGCCUCAUUGGAUGUAAAACAAAUGCUUAAAAAUGAAACAGAGUCAGAUAUCACUGCUGAUCUCAGAAAGAAGCUCCACCGGGCUAAGAAGGAGAAGUUAGAGAUGACAACAAAGCACAACGCAGAGCUGUCCAGCCAUGAGAGCCAGAUUGCCAGGCUGCGGUCUGAGGUGGAAAAAGGAGAAGCGCUGCGGCAGCGUCUAGAAUACGACCUGGCUGUCGUUAGGAAGGAGGCUGGUCUGGGAAGACGGGCGGCGGAGGAGAGACUGGCGGAGGCUCAGCGGAUUCAAGAAAAGCUCUGCGCUCAGAAUUCAGAACUUCAAGGAAAGGCAAAUGAGAUUGAGAAAACACUUCAGACUUCCCAAGAGAAAUGGAAAGAAGAAUGCAGGAGAUUUGAGCAUGAUUUGGAGGAACGAGACAACAUAAUUCAAAAUUGCAACCACGAAUAUGAGUUACUUAUGCAGGAAAAAAACAGACUACAAAAAACUCUACAGGAGGCCCUGGAAAAGCAUCAGCAAGAGAAGGAUGAGAUGGAGGCUCAUGUCAAGGAGACCGCAUUGGACGACUUUAGAUUACAGGCAGAACAAUGGGAAGCAGAACGGAGAGAGUUACAGCUGAUAGUACAG
rnacentral:lncRNA from 1 species